rnacentral:lncRNA from 1 species
ACCAGCUUUUAGCUACCACUUCCUUCUUUUUAAAAAACAACUUUAAUACAUCCUGCUAUAUAUUUUCCAAUUAUAAUAUUAAUGAAACUUUCUAUGUCAUAAGUGGAUGUAUGUUGACUUAGAUUCCAGAUACCCUGGCCAGGGCUGCAAAUGUGUCCCUUGUCACUUUUAUGAUCCUUGUGUGUCUUAUCAACCACCAUCCUUUGGUCAUUUUAUUGACAGUCAUACAAUUUUAUUUUGCCCAACUCUAUUGACUUCACUAGGCUUGAUGCCAAUUUCAAAGCGUCAGCUUAGGCUCCCUCCUUUCUCCUGGAGUAACCUCUGCCUCUGGCUCUCCUCUGCCUUUUAUACUGGAAAUGGGGUUGUCAUUUUGUUUCUGCCUGUUAUCUUUAAGACUCCUCUGACUGUCUCAGUGUAUGUGCCUCAACCAUCUGCUCUUUAAAGAGGCCAGGCUUUUGGAGGAAAUGGAAGCAAUAUAUAUUUAGCAAAGUUAACCUACUUGACACAACAUGUUUUUGGAGGUAAGCAGAUUUCUUUUCCAUAGUACAAAGGCAGAGAACCCAAUUUCCAUCAGCUUGUACCCAAAGUCUAAGCCCCUCUCCCUGUCACCUCAUCCAUCCUCUGCCGAACCCCCAUCCUCAAGUGCUCAGGAUUCCCUUGUCCUACCCAGCUCCCACCUCACCGCCUCCCACCUCCAUCCGCCGUGCUGCCCCACAGUGACCAGCAAAUGCCGUGUACCCCACACCCCUGCUGUGGAGGACAGACUCUAAGGUGCCCCGUGAUCCAUGACUCCUGGUGUUCACAUCUUUGUGUGACGGCUUCUCUUUGAGCAUGUGUACACCUGUGACUUGCUUCUAAUGAAUAGGAUACGGCAAGGUGAUGGGAUGUCACACCCCUGAUUAAGUUGUUACAUAAGACUCUAUCUUGCUAGCAGGCUCAUUCUAGAGGCCCUCUUUGCUGGCUUGAUGAAAUAAGUGGUCGUGUUGGGAAAGCCCACAUGGCUUAAGCACUGAGGGUAGCUUCUAAGAGCUGAGGAACAGCCUCCAGCAAGAAGCCAGGGCCCUCAGUCACACAGCCGUGAGGAAAUGAAUUCUGACAACAACCUGAGUGAGUGCGGACACCGAUGCUUCUCCAGUGGAGCCUCCAGAUGACAAUCUCCCAACACCCUGAUCGCAGCCUUGUGAGACCCUGAGCAGAGGACCCAGCUAAGCCAUGCGGGACUGACCCACAGAAACCAUGGGAUAAUAAAUGGGUGUGGUCUUAAGCUGCUCAGUCUGUGGUAAUUUGUUGUGCAGCCAUAGAUAAGUAAUACCCCUAGACAUUGCUUCUUCUGCAGCCCUCCCACACGGUAGCUGGUUUCAUUCUUCCAAACCACAACAUAGAAGCUGGGAGGGAGGGGACUGUCUUCCUUGCUUCCCACUCCCCUGAGACCAUUUUUCUGAGUCUGAGCCAUACAGCUAUGCUAUCCUGUUCCCCUCCAGAGAGCCUCUGUCAUUUACGGACCUCCCAGUCCCUCAUUCUCAGAGAUCUCAGCAGCUGUCUCAUAUCUUCUCAUCCUAGGUAAAUUCAGUGUUGGUUUGGGUGAAAUUUUCAACGGAUCACCUGGACUCGCAGUGUAUUGGCUUCCUUCUCUCUGAAGACCGUCUCUCUUCUCUCCAAGCCACCCACUUCCACAGUUGCAACUGGGGCUUUGGCACUACUGGAAACUCUUCCACUCGCAAAUCACUGAAGUACGUGCUGACCACCAGGAAUUCCACACAGAAUCCGCACUUCUUCCCACAGGCUCUGACCCAGACUUUAUGAAACCUAGGCAGCUCCAAACCAACCCUACUGGAGAAGUGCAAGCUUUCUGCACCCACCUCGGGUUACACGUGCACAUGCGCCACACCUACCCAGAAUCACUGGUAUUCGUCAUGCUCAAUGAUUUUGAUCAAUCUCUCUCUGUUUUUCAUGCUUGAGAACUUGCAUCUAACCCACUCUUGUGCCUACAAUGCAUCUGAAGAUAGCCAGGAGUCUGAAGGCCCUAAUUUGGUCCAGGGGCUGGCAAACUACG